rnacentral:rRNA from 1 species
GACGAACGCUGGCGGCGUGCCUAAUACAUGCAAGUCGAACGCAGUGGGGACGGGAGAGUAACACGUGGGUAACCUCCCAUCAGAGGGGAUAACACUUGGCAACAGGUGCUAAACCUAUAUUGAUUUAUGGACCCGCGGGUCAUUAUCUAGUUGGUGAGGUAACGGCUCACCAAGGCCAAGAUGCAUAGCCGACCUGAGAGGGUGAGCGACAACACUGGGAAUGAGACACGGCCCAGACUCCUACGGGAGGCAGCAGUAGGGAAUCUGCGGCAAUGGACGAAAGUCGGACCGAGCAACGCCGCGUGAGUGAAGAAGGUUGUCGGAUCGUAAAACUCGGGUGUUAGAGAAGCGGUAUCUAACCAGAAAGCCACGGCUAACUACGUGCCAGCAGCCGCGGUAAUUC